GGCUGGCCCAAAGGUAAUGAGUUAUCUCAAUUUGACUCUUCACACUUAGUUACAAAUCAAACUCUGUUCUACUCUUUCCUUCUUUUUCACUACUGCACUUGACUGAUUAGUCUUAA
ensembl:Y_RNA Y_RNA Y RNA